rnacentral:lncRNA from 15 species
AUGCCACAACAGAAAACAAGUUCAGGAGCAGCUCACUGUGCCCCUGAUGUGUCCGUUCCACCACAAAACCCUACAACCAACCCCCCUUCUCCAAUCGCACAUAGACUGCGUCAUCCAAAUCAAGAUGCAGCCUUCAACAUGCCCAUGGUUGAAGUAUCUGGACUAGAAGGUGCAACGUUGGUUUUCCGUCCAUGGACUUCUGCUGACAUCACAGCAGCCUCACAACAUCUGCCCAACCCCACAACAUCAGGUAAAAUGUUUGCUGAGCAAUUCGCCACAUUUUGCCAAGAAUUCAAACCCACCAUAAAUGAACUAAAAAGACUCCUGAUCACCAAGAUGAAACCCACAGAUUGGCAAAAAAUAGCUGAAAGAUUCCCACAUGCUGACAUCCGUUGUAAGCACAUCACCUGGGAACAUGAGUCUAAUGCCCAUUAUAGAGAUGUUGUCCGCCUUCUCUGUGAUGCAUUCACUCAAGCUUUUCCUGUAAAAGUUAACAUGGAGAAAAUCACUGCCUGCAAGCAGAAGGAUGAUGAAAACCCUGAUGAAUAUCUCACUCGCCUGACAGAGGUAUUCAACACCUACAGUGGCCUUCAACCACCUGAUGGAUUAAAUAAUAUUCCAGAUGUGUGGGAAAUUCAUCUUUGUAACUGUUUCUUAAAAGGACUAAAACCAAACACUGCCUCCGCUGUUAAAACUUCCUGCAUUGGAUGGGAUGAUGCACGUCUGUCCGAACUUCGCAGACACGCCAUACAUGCCCAUGACCAAAUACUCACAAAGAAAAAGAAAAAUGAAGAAACAACAGAGAAAGAGCUUCACAUGGCAGCAAUAACCAUGUAUAACACAAUCCGAGAACAUGGACAAUCNNNNNNNNNNNNNNNNNNNNAAGAAGGGAAGCAGACUCCGCCAUGCCACAACAAAAAACAAGUUCAGGAGCAGCUCACUGUGCCCCUGAUGUGUCCGUUCCACCACAGAACCCUACAACCAACCCCCCUUCUCCAAUAG